AGGGUGCAAGCGUUAAUCGGAAUUACUGGGCGUAAAGCGUGCGCAGGCGGUUAUGCGAGACAGAGGUGAAAUCCCCGGGCUCAACCUGGGAACUGCCUUUGUGACUGCAUGGCUAGAGUACGGUAGAGGGGGAUGGAAUUCCGCGUGUAGCAGUGAAAUGCGUAGAUAUGCGGAGGAACACCGAUGGCGAAGGCAAUCCCCUGGACCUGUACUGACGCUCAUGCACGAAAGCGUGGGGAGCAAACAGGAUUAGAUACCCUGGUAGUCAAGGGCG
rnacentral:rRNA from 1 species